ensembl:lncRNA
UUUUUCUUUUUUUUUUUCACAAGAAGCAUAGACAGGGAAGCCCAGGAGUUCGCCUGUCUUUAUGGGCAGUAGGAAGAAAGAUGGUUUAAUAGUGCCAAUAACACAAUUACCAGCACACUGGUCGGGUAAUUUGGCAUAAGCUCUAUGCCCACAUAUCCAGUAUAAUCCAGUGGGGGCUGUCCAGUCCUGGUAGGACUGCGGGUGGGUCCACAUGGUUUGUAACUUUGGAAAUUUACUAAAUGGAUUUUUCUUAGUGUGGUUUGAAUUCCACUAGGUGGCUGUUUUUGUAGUACUAUUAUACAGUUUUUGCCCAAAGCAGCUGAGUCUUCCCGUAGGAAGGGUGAAGUCCUCCACUCUUACUAUACAGUAUUGUCUAAUGAUUGAGGCUUUUAGGGCCCAGAAGUUAUCAGGUGAUUCUUUUGAGCUGGGAAUUCAUCAGGAACUGGGUCUGUAGGUACUAAUUCUCUGGCUUCCCAUGGCCAUUGAUCUUCAAUUACCGUUCCUCCAUAUACAUAACAUGAAGUGACAUUAAGAGACUGGGCUACAUGCUUGGCUAAUUGCAAAAACAAAUUUAUUGUUUUUCCUGGAAUUUCUGGUACUGGCACAUUCAUUUCAUCAUAGAAGGUUUGAAAUACUGGCUCAGGAGAGCUUUUAUAAACUUCUUCUCAAACCACGAUAUUUACUUGAGGAUCCAGUCCAGCCCCAUCGAUUCCUAGGGUUACACACCCCCUUUUUCGUCCAUCGAGGAUUAAGGGGGUUGGUUAUUACUUGUUCUAAGGGGUUACACUGACCACUGGCACAGGAAGGGCCACUUUUUCUUUUCUGAAGGUGGACAGGAUCCUUUUCAUUUUUUAUCCAAGUAGCCUAAGUGAUACAAGACCAGUAUCUACGUUCAUUUCCACACAGUCCUAAUUCAUGUCAAAUGUACUUAUUUUCUGCCAUAUAGCCUCUUUCCUAAUUAAGAAAACCACAUCCUAUUCCUAUUACUAUUAAUGACAGCACAGGCAUCAAAUUUCAAGGUGACUUGUUUGGGCACCCCUUUUUCUUUUGUUUUGGCAAAACCUUACUCAUAUCAUUUAUGAGCCCCCACCAGUCCUCAGUCCUUAAUCUUAUUUCAAAAACUGGUCAUGGGAGGCUCAGAUGGGUCAUAACACACGUCAGGUUGGUCAUUUCCUGGGCUACAUACCUUGUAUAGAAUAACAUUAUGCAAAUAAGUUCUUUUUAGAGUUCCAGUACACUUAUAAUAACCAUAAAAUAAUAGGACCAUAUUGUCCUACCUCAGUGACUUGAUGUAUACACUGGGAACCGUCCUCAGUCUGAGGAAGGUCAGUUGAAGUCUUUACUGUACAAGUCCAAAUUUUAAGGAAAAUGAGUCCUGCAAUGAGUUUUCUCAUGCUUCAGCUGUGUGUGGACCAGUAAGCUUCUGGGUGUGACUGGAGCAGGGCUUGUUGUCUUCUUCAGAGUCACUUUGCAGGGGUUGGUGAAGCUGCUCCCAUCCACAUACAGCUCACAGUCUACUGAUGCUCAAGGUUGGGCCCACUAGAAUAAACUGAGUCCAACACCUCUACAGAGUUAAGGUCAACUGGACUUUCUGAUACCAGGAGCAAGGUGGUGGGGUUUAGGGUGUUGCAAACCUCAAUGGUUACAUGGGGAUUUUCACAUGGCACGCUUUGGUACUUGGUUAAUCUA